rnacentral:lncRNA from 1 species
CAGAUCUGCACUAAUACCCAUUAUAUCAUAUACUUAAAGAUAAUAAGGCUCAAAAUAACCAUAUGAUCACAAAUCAAUCAUAGGCUCCUCAAACAUCUGUUUAGCUGACAACUUAGUCUAUAUUACAUAAUAAAUCAAAAUAAAAUUAGUGCAUAUUCAAUGAAAAUCCAUCUUAUGAGAAAUUCUGACAAAACAUACUGAUGCAUAUAAGUAAACAUCAUCACCACC